UUAACUGAAACCAAAAAGAGGUAUAUUAUUGUUAAUAAUAAAAUUGAAUACGCAUCAUUCCAGUUAAG
rnacentral:tRNA from 1 species